rnacentral:lncRNA from 1 species
UCACACAACACCUUCACCUAUGCCAAGCUGGGAUACUCAGUAUAAAAAUAUGUUAGUAGCAUCAAAACACCCCAGUUCUUAUCUGUAUGAAGUUGUAUCAUGCUAGUGACAAAAAGACUAGCCCUUCCUUCUUGUGAGCUGAAACUAAUAAAAUAAAUUAACGGGGACAGUCAGGUAACUAUAACACAGGAAAGCUGCUAGUGAAAGAUUUUCCCAAGCCUUUGUCUGGAGUUUCCAUUUGUAUGCUUUCUUCUAAGUCCAUCAAAGCAGAAGGCCAAGAAGAAAAGACAAUGAGGAAGAAAUAUGGCUUCCUGUCUUUGUUAAUCAGGAAUCUCAUUAUUCUUGUCAUAAAGAUGCGAGUUUUCUAUCCUAAAAUCUUGUGCAAAGAGAUACAAUGUCCAGCUGGCUCUGCAGAGUGCGAAGAUGAUCUUGGAGCAGUUGCUGUGUCACAGAACCAUCACGUAAAUGCCACGUUGUUAAAUUUCAGAACAUGACCUCGUAUAUGAGCUAUUCGUAGCCUUUCAACCUAAUCCUUGUGUAGUAGUUAGAAAGGUGUGUGCGAAUGAGUCUGUUGACUGAAGACAUCACCCAUCAUCAGGGCAAGAGAUUAAAUAGAAUUCGUUAAGAGCCAUGCACAUAUUUUCUAGCAUCACUUUUUUUUUCCUGCCAUGUAUGUGUUUUGUAGACCACAGUUUUCAAGUAGUAUAAACGGAGCACCAUCAACUAGACUUCAGGAAGUCUGUGAAGGUCUACACACUGGUGGUGUUAAUGUCACAUGUUUUGCCAUCUUGAUGUUACGUGUUAUAGUUGUGUUUCUGUACAAAUCUAUGAAGCUAAUUCUUGCUCUUGCACUUCAAACAGACAU